GCAAUACCCAGAGCAUGCUGCUUUUUGAAAAAUAUCACAAACCAAAACCCUGUAUACAAAAUGUGUUUUAUAAUUCACUAUAGACUUGGCUGCAUUUUUGACCAGGAAUGAAAAAAAAAAAAAAAAAAAGGAAACCAUACAAUCACACACAAAACAAACUCCAAA